AACGCUGGCGGAAUGCUUUACACAUGCAAGUCGAACGGUAGAGGGGGCAACCCCUUGAGAGUGGCGAACGGGUGAGUAAUAUAUCGGAACGUGCCCAGUCGUGGGGGAUAACGUAGCGAAAGUUACGCUAAUACCGCAUACGAUCUACGGAUGAAAGCGGGGGAUCGCAAGACCUCGCGCGACUGGAGCGGCCGAUAUCAGAUUAGGUAGUUGGUGGGGUAAAGGCUCACCAAGCCAACGAUCUGUAGCUGGUCUGAGAGGACGACCAGCCACACUGGAACUGAGACACGGUCCAGACUCCUACGGGAGGCAGCAGUGGGGAAUUUUGGACAAUGGACGCAAGUCUGAUCCAGCCAUUCCACGUGCAGGAUGAAGGCCCUCGGGUUGUAAACUGCUUUUGUACGGAACGAAAAGGUCUCUCCUAAUACGAGAGGCUCAUGACGGUACCGUAAGAAUAAGCACCGGCUAACUACGUGCCAGCAGCCGCGGUAAUACGUAGGGUGCAAGCGUUGAUCGGAAUUACUGGGCGUAAAGCGUGCGCAGGCGGUUAUAUAAGACAGAUGUGAAAUCCCCGGGCUCAACCUGGGAACUGCAUUUGUGACUGUAUAGCUAGAGUACGGUAGAGGGGGAUGGAAUUCCGCGUGUAGCAGUGAAAUGCGUAGAUAUGCGGAGAAACACCGAUGGCGAAGGCAAUCCCCUGGACCUGUACUGACGCUCAUGCACGAAAGCGUGGGGAGCAAACAGGAUUAGAUACCCUGGUAGUCCACGCCCUAAACGAUGUCAACUGGUUGUUGGGUCUUAACUGACUCAGUAACGAAGCUAACGCGUGAAGUUGACCGCCUGGGGAGUACGGCCGCAAGGUUGAAACUCAAAGGAAUUGACGGGACCCGCACA
rnacentral:rRNA from 1 species